rnacentral:rRNA from 1 species
AAAUUGAAGAGUUUGAUCAUGGCUCAGAUUGAACGCUGGCGGCAGGCCUAACACAUGCAAGUCGAACGGUAACAGGAAGCAGCUUGCUGCUUCGCUGACGAGUGGCGGACGGGUGAGUAAUGUCUGGGAAACUGCCUGAUGGAGGGGGAUAACUACUGGAAACGGUAGCUAAUACCGCAUAAUGUCGCAAGACCAAAGAGGGGGACCUUCGGGCCUCUUUCCAUCGGAUGUGCCCAGAUGGGAUUAGCUUGUUGGUGGGGUAACGGCUCACC